UACGGGGGGGGCAAGCGUUGUUCGGAAUUACUGGGCGUAAAGGGUUCGUAGGUGGCUUGCUAAGUCAGACGUGAAAUCCCUCAGCUUAACUGGGGAACUGCGUCUGAGACUGGUGAGCUUGAGUGCAGGAGAGGAACGCGGAAUUCCAGGUGUAGCGGUGAAAUGCGUAGAUAUCUGGAGGAACACCGGUGGCGAAGGCGGCGUUCUGGUCCGAUACUGACGCUGAGGUGCGAAAGCGUGGGGAGCGAUCCGG
rnacentral:rRNA from 1 species